rnacentral:rRNA from 1 species
AUGUUGACAUCUCUUACAGUGAUGUUGGAGACACAUGCCUUGGUGUUGUACCUCCCUAGGCCACCAAUGCUGAUCCCAUGGCCUGGUCCGCAGUUCACAUUAUGUAUGUUUACGUCGCUGCAGCCUGUCUGGAUGGAGAUGCAGUCAUCACCUGCAUUGCACAAGGUGUAUUCCAUCAGUGUUGGGGCUAUUCUCAGGGGAAGAGAUGGUGAGGUUAUGAACCAUGACUCCCUGACAGCUAUCGAACUUCAGAUGGCACUGCGGGCUGUUGAUGAUGCUGAUACCAGUUACUCUGACAUCGGAACUGCCGUAAAACCUUAG